AUCUAGUGGCGAACUCGAGAGGUAUAAACCUUACCCACAGAACUUUCUGGAAAAUUGACAGUGCGUAUUUGCCUGAAGAAGGUCAGUGUGCUUGCUUGGAGAUCAGGACGCGAAGGUCACCAUCAGAAAAGCUAAGUUUGCUGUAUAGUGAGGAUCAGGAGGUCUGAUCCUGAUUGCAGAACCUUCCCUGAUUACAGAAUCUUGGAUACCUGCCUUUCUUUCUAGGUUGUAUCUCCCACUUCACCCUUCUAGACCAUCCCAGAAGAUCUAUAAGAUUUCAUCUGGGAAAUCACUAGGAGUUCUUGGAAGGGAAAGAAGGAAGAUUGUGAUGCAGUCAGCUCACAGCGACCCUGAAAGAGAAAAUGAAAUGAGAGGGAAUAAAUGCUUGACUUCGCUGUCUUCCGAACAUCUGCUGGGUAUUUCCCUUUGGCCAAAUUGGAAGCUGGAGGGCAAGGAAGACCUUUUGUAUAGUCUGUGUUGGUAAGUGUGGGGGACACAGAGCAGGAAGGAAA
rnacentral:lncRNA from 1 species